GCGGGCAUAACUCAGUGGUAGAGUGGCAGCUUCCCAAGCUGCAGGUCGUCGGUUCGAAUCCGAUUGCCCGCU
rnacentral:tRNA from 1 species